UAACAGUUAGAUAUCUUUGUGUUGCAUUUCAGUUCAGAUUUCACCAUGUCUAGUCAUCAGCAUCUCAGUUCCAUCUGGAUUUUCUAGGUUUACUACACCUAGGAAACAAGUACAUCAAUAUCGCGGAUAAAAUAAAACAAUGGAGGUUUUUUUUUUCUUUUUUUUUUUGUAAUUUCUAGUGUUGUAUUUCUUUUCUCGGAAUUUGCAUUCUUUUUGAUGACCUGAAUCCCUCUUCGGAUAGUCAUAUUUCAUAACUAGUAAAUGAUGAACUUAUGUUCUUCAUGGAACUAAUUUUGUGAGGAAAACACUUAGAGCUCUGAAUUGCAUAUGAAAUUAAUGAGAUCUUUUAAUACAUGGAAUUUUUGGGGGGUACAGCAGUACUUUCAAUAGUUUCCUGGAUACAGGAUAAACCAAUCCAAUUACAUAUCAAUCUAAAAUGCUUGUCAAUUUAGAACUAAUAUGACAGAACCAACAAAUGCAGCAACAACGAGAAAUGGUGGACCUAGAAAUUAAGAGUAGUCCGUUUCCCUGGAGAAUUCCGCAAAGCUGGGAAAUUUGAAUUGAUUGGGUUGGAGCACUGGAGAAUUGAGGAAAUCCAAAAUACCAAUCAUGAACUCUACACAAAACGUUGUUGUGGUGACUGCUGCACAUCUUCCUCUUAUUCAUAUGGUUUUGGCAAAACAUGCCUAAGGUAUGAUCCAUAUCAGGCCAUGCCUUUCUUGAAAGAUUGCCUGAAGUAUGUGUAACAUUUGCUGCUGGACUGGUUCUUUGGAAAGGGCUUGCACUAUGGGCACUUGUUGCUUCAUUCAUUAGUUAUUUGUAGCUGAUUAAGGAUGUUAUAUCAUCUAGAGAUUCUAGGUCUUCUGUGUCUUUUAUGUUAUCACUUUCAUUUAGUUCUUUAGUAUCUUCUAUUCUAUAUGCCAGGUUAUCAUUUCUUUUUGGGCAAAUUCUAAAAUGUUUUAUAAUUUCAAUAAUAUCCUUUUUGCAACCUUUACAUUUAAACACA